AGUGGCGGACUGGUGAGUAACACGUAAGCAACCUGCCUAUUAGAGGGGAAUAACAGUGAGAAAUCAUUGCUAAUACCGCAUAUGCCAUAAUCACCACAUGGUGGUAGUGGGAAAGGAGCAAUCCGCUAAUAGAUGGGCUUGCGUCUGAUUAGCUAGUUGGUGGGGUAAAGGCCUACCAAGGCGACGAUCAGUAGCCGGACUGAGAGGUUGAACGGCCACAUUGGGACUGAGAUACGGCCCAGACUCCUACGGGAGGCAGCAGUCGGGAAUAUUGCGCAAUGGAGGGAACUCUGACGCAGUGACGCCGCGUAUAGGAAGAAGUUUUUCGGAAUGUAAACUAUUGUCGUUAGGGAAGAGAAAGGACGGUACCUAAGGAGGAAGCCCCGGCUAACUAUGUGCCAGCAGCCGCGGUAAUACAUAGGGGGCAAGCGUUAUCCGGAAUUAUUGGGUGUAAAGGGUGCGUAGACGGGAAAUUAAGUUAGUUGUGAAAUCCCCAGGCUCAACUUGGGAAUUGCAACUAAAACUGGUUUUCUUGAGUACUGGAGAGGAAAGUGGAAUUCCUAGUGUAGCGGUGAAAUGCGUAGAUAUUAGGAGGAACACCAGUGGCGAAGGCGACUUUCUGGACAGAAACUGACGUUGAGGCACGAAAGUGUGGGGAGCAAACAGGAUUAGAUACCCUGGUA
rnacentral:rRNA from 1 species